GGACUUCCCGUGUGGCUCACAACA
rnacentral:miRNA from 1 species